rnacentral:piRNA from 1 species
UACUGAUUCAGUAGCCACUUUGAUGCUCAGA